UACAGAGGGUGCAAGCGUUAAUCGGAAUUACUGGGCGUAAAGCGUGCGUAGACGGUUAUUUAAGUCAGGUGUGAAAGCCCCGGGCUCAACCUGGGAAUUGGCAUUUGAGACUGAAUAGCUAGGGUGCGGAAGAGGGGAAGCGGGAAUUUCCGGGUGUAGCGGUGAAAUGACGUAGAUAUCGGAAGGAACACCAGUGGCGAAAGCGGCUUCCUGG
rnacentral:rRNA from 1 species